UACAGAGGGUGAGGGGAUUUCCAGACCCUGGAAUACUGGUAUCUUAAUGAUGACAGAAAGAAGUGGCUUCUUUUAUUUCUUACAGCAAAACAAUUUGUUUGCCUGGGGAUUUGGAGAAAGAGACGGAAUCUGGGGAUGUUUAUGAGAUUAGUGAUGGGAGCAUCGGCAAGACACCAAAAAGAUUUUCCUCGCUGCAGAAAUGAAGUUUUGCUUUUUAUUUUGGAAAUACAGGAAAAAUGCUGAAGAGCAAAGAACGACCCCAGAUGGAUCGCAGAAGCAGGGUUCGAAGGUACUGCCCUUGAACAGAUGAUCUUUCUAUUCUGGUGACUCUAACGAGAGCCAAUACUUCACAAAAAGCACAGGAGCUUUGUGGCACUUAGCUGUAAUCUUACCCCUUUGCUGAAAUCCCUCCUGCACUCAGGCUAGCCUGGUGAUCUGAUGUCACCGGGCGCAAGGGAUUAAUAAGCCUUGACAUUUUAUCCUAUCAGUGUAAUACCCAGCUCUUCUCAAGACUGCCUGGCCCUUGCUUUGGCAGCGGAUCACACAGGGGGAGCCGUAGCGGCUCAUAGACUUUCAAGACAGCAGAACAACCUUGGAGAACGAAUGCUCGGACUGCUGCAGGUUACAGCACCCAGAGUCCUGUGGACUGAGCCCAUGAUCUGAAGGCAAGGACUCUACUACUGAGCUACAUCCUCAGAUCUUUAAGUUAGUUUAUCUCUUAUUUAUCCAUUUAUUGGCUUGUUAAGUUUUCAUUCACAGGCAAUGUUAAGAGGAUAGUUAAAUAUCAGUUUCCAGUUAAAUGUAUGCAUCUUGGCAGCAGUUAGAUUAAUCUGUCAAGAGUUGGAUGAUCUGUCAAAACUCCAGCAACUUUACCUCUGCUUUUCUUCCCUGUCACAUGUAAGUUGUAAAAAACUAGAAAUAGUAAGCCCUACUUCAGCACCAGUUUAAUAAAUAUAGUAGGUUUUCAAUGAAAAAUAUCUACCACGUGCUAAAAGUAGGGGACAGACGGUGAAAUAUGAACAACGCCAACAAAAAGCACAGCUGACUAGAUUUGUCUGUGGUUAUGGGUUCUACCCACAGCUUCAUGCAAAAGAGAUUGGACUUGAGGCGCAUCUUAAACCAAGACAUCCCAUGGGAUUGGCAAAUUAAUUGUGCUUGGAAGUUAUGAGAGCAGAGACCUGCAGAAAACUGAUCAGGAAACAAGAAUGGGACAUUAAGAUUCCACUGUGAUAAAUCACCUCACCAAGCCCAUCAUAUGCUGAGAUGUAGGACAGAAGCCUUCUGAACUUCUCGGGUUUUUCCCCCGUGAUGUAAUUGAUAUCAUACCUACUCAGUUGGCUACAGCUUUUAGGGGCUAAGUCUGUUUGCUGAAAUGUUUGCACUUCCUCCUCAACUGAAAGAAUUCAAAGACAUGAAGUGUCUACUGUGAAAAUACAUAACAAAUACAAAAGCUGUUCUCUAAAGGCCUAUCGGAGUGGCUACCACUGAAGCGAUUGCUCUCUACGGAACGUGUGGAAGAACAGCGCCAUGUUGAAUUCAUUGAGGCACUCUCUUCUGAUUUUUUUUUGUUCUAUUUUUUUUUAAAUAAUUUCCAUCAACAGACCUCCACCCCGAACAAAAGCAGGUAAAUACAAUGUCACUCUCUU
rnacentral:sRNA from 1 species